UGUCUUUUUGAUUAAGAAUGAAUAGUGCCAGACCAUUUUCGUUAAAACUCCCUUUUAUUUAACCUUGGAGAAACCAUAUAAUAUUUUGAAGCUCAUAUUCUUUUUUUCACUUUAUUUUCAACUACAAAACUAUUUAUGUGGCUCAAGUGUGACCCAUUGUUGUUGAGAUGUGUGCUGUUAUGCGCUAAAAUGUUUGGAAAAUCAUAUUUUUGAAUUUA
rnacentral:lncRNA from 1 species